rnacentral:rRNA from 1 species
GAUGAACGCUGGCGGCGUGCCUAAUACAUGCAAGUCGAGCGAACAGAUAAGGAGCUUGCUCCUUUGACGUUAGCGGCGGACGGGUGAGUAACACGUGGGCAACCUACCUAUAAGACUGGAAUAACUCCGGGAAACCGGGGCUAAUGCCGGAUAACAUUUAGAACCGCAUGGUUCUAAAGUGAAAGAUGGUUUUGCUAUCACUUAUAGAUGGACCCGCGCCGUAUUAGCUAGUUGGUAAGGUAACGGCUUACCAAGGCAACGAUACGUAGCCGACCUGAGAGGGUGAUCGGCCACACUGGAACUGAGACACGGUCCAGACUCCUACGGGAGGCAGCAGUAGGGAAUCUUCCGCAAUGGGCGAAAGCCUGACGGAGCAACGCCGCGUGAGUGAUGAAGGUCUUCGGAUCGUAAAACUCUGUUAUUAGGGAAGAACAAAUGUGUAAGUAACUGUGCACGUCUUGACGGUACCUAAUCAGAAAGCCACGGCUAACUACGUG